UACGUAGGGGGCAAGCGUUGUCCGGAUUUAUUGGGCGUAAAGAGCUCGUAGGCGGCUUGAUAAGUCGGGAUGUGAAACCUCCAGGCUCAACCUGGAGUCGCCAUCCGAUACUGUCAUGGCUAGAGUCCGGUAGGGCCCACGGAAUUCCUGGUGUAGCGGUGAAAUGCGCAGAUAUCAGGAGGAACACCGGUGGCGAAGGCGGUGGGCUGGGCCGGCACUGACGCUGGAGGAGCGAAAGCGUGGGGAGCGAACAGG
rnacentral:rRNA from 1 species